AGGCGCGUAGCUCAGCUGGUUAGAGCGCUACCUUGACACGGUAGAGGUCGGAGGUUCGAGUCCUCUCGUGCCUACCA
rnacentral:tRNA from 1 species